ensembl:lncRNA
CAAGAGGUCUGAUAGCAUCUGCAUGCUGCAGCUGUCAGCCUUUCUGAUUAGGUUGCCGAUUCCUGCUUUCAAUAUAUCAUGACAAACAUAAUUACCUCAACAUCUCUUUUUAUGGAUUCUACAAAUCGCCAAGCGCACAGAGCAUGCCAAGUGUCCAUCAAUUACAGCCACGCUCUGCUAGUAGCCCGUCCACUUGGCUGCUUCAACAACGUCAACCUCUCCUUUCAGAAAGUACAAGAUCUUCACGGCCUGACCUCGCAACCUCCCUGAUGUGGACUCAAUGAUUUCACCUCAUGCGGCCCCUUGAAGUGGAGAGAGAACACGGCGUCCUUUUACUAAACACGAAGAGUGGGUUCAAGAUUGGAGAACGGAGGAAUAAUUUUGGCAUUCAACCGCCUGCAGUUAAGUGGCUGUAAAGGAAUAGUUAGAAUCAGAAGUGUACAGGUUAAUUACCUCAAAGUGACUGAAAAAGCCUGACCUGGCUAUGGAUUUUAAACACAAGUGCACCACAAGGGUGUAAGUUGCCAUUCAUUAACUAACACACAAGAAAAGAACGAAUUAAAGUAAAAUAAAUCAUAAAGAAAGAACACUCCAGAAAGACAGUCUCCAGCUGUGGUCAUAGUUCAAUUCAAGCUCUGAGGAAACAGUUACUUUUUAAAGCAUUAUACAACACAAGCUGCAAUAAUUAUAAUUUUUAUAUUAUCAAAUGAUCAAAACCAAUUAUUCAUAAUGUGAAAGCAGUUUGUAUGGUUAUUCUGCUCAGCACCAAAUACAGUCAAGGUUACCAAGCUGCUGGUCAAUAUAGUGAAGUAUUUACCUGCUAAAAAGCUUGUGGGCACUAAACAGAGAUAAAAGACAGAGUAUGAGAGUACAUGAAUAGUGACGCAUUAUUGUUUCACUUCAUUAUAAUGAGGAAUGCUUUAAAUUCUAGCAGGUGUCGGCAUUGCUAAAUGGAAAGAAAUCCCCAUUAAACAACCACAUCAUGACUUCAGCUCAUUAAUGCAUUGGACCAAGAAGAGAAAAAAAAUGUAUAUUUAUGGAUUCAAGCAAUAAAAAAACAUAUAUUAAAUAUCUUAAGUUAUUGAAGCUUCUGUACAUUUUAGCAAAAUUUGAUUUGAUAGCCUUGUAACAUCCUGAUCACAAUGAUAAAUAAUGCAUGGACAUGCACACGCAUGCAUGCACAAGCACACUCAUCAGUAGCAAAAUAAUUAAACAAGUGUGAUUUUUGCUUACAUGAAGGAAGUAGAUUUGCACUUUUCUCUGAAUGCAGAGAGAUGUUCAGCAUCCGCCUGUUUAGUAUCUUUGCUGGAACCUCCAUUGCAGUUUA